GACUUAGCGGCGGACGGGUGAGUAACGCGUGGGUAACCUGCCUUACACUGGGGGAUAACAGUUAGAAAUGACUGCUAAUACCGCAUAAGCGCACAGGGCCGCAUGGUCUGGUGUGAAAAACUCCGGUGGUGUAAGAUGGACCCGCGUCUGAUUAGGUAGUUGGUGGGGUAACGGCCCACCAAGCCGACGAUCAGUAGCCGACCUGAGAGGGUGACCGGCCACAUUGGGACUGAGACACGGCCCAAACUCCUACGGGAGGCAGCAUG
rnacentral:rRNA from 1 species